CGACGCCUAUCCAUAGUCGAUCACCGUUCAGUAAGUCGAGUAUACACUUUGCGAAUUACAAGAUGAAGUUGGCGUUUCUGUUUGUACUUUUAUUGAGCGUGCUUCAAUACGCUCAUGCAGCAAUUUGUGCAAAAGAUUUGAGAAGCGGUGGCCCUCAAAACUUUAAUAGUGUUGCUCAAAUGAAUGCGGAAAACAGAAAAGGCGGACGAUACCAAUUCCAACACAAUGGGUAUUGUUAAGUAACAAGCGCAUCAAGAGAAUUGUGUCCGCAAGGUCAAAACGAUACCAAAAGUUUAUCGAUGUAACUGCAUAUUUGUAUCAAUAAACGGUAGUAAAAUUUGACCAACCUUUUUUUAUUUUACCUUCAUCGUUGCAUAUACCUAUAUUUAGACAGCUGUGAAGUAAAUUUACCAGUUACCGAUACGUUCAGACGCAAUUAUAUUGACCCUUUUAUAGGGUCAAACGGAAACAAACAAUACAGGUCAAUAAUUGAAACACUUGCCUGAACGACGGGGAAUCUGAGAAUUCAUGGAACGAGCAACGGGAAGAAAACAUUAACGUUUUAUUGUUGAAGAAACUGACGGUCCAACCUAAAGUAUCGCGCAUAUUUCAUGUCGGCCCUGUUCUCGAUUUCUGAACAAUUCAGUGCUCCGGAAAUGAACACUUGGGGGAGCACAAAUGACUGAAGGGACAAUACUCGUUACCGCAACACGGUUGUUGUAACCCGAUAGAUCUGGUUUCUUGGUGAGUUGUUCGUAGAAUGUUAUGUUGUAUUAUACUUUGCGUUCAUCGUACAGAAUAUAAAUUUCCAUUGCACAGUUUCAACGUUGCGGACCAAAUUGUCAGAUAGAUGUUCAUAAAAUAUACUACGAAGUUUGUAUGCAAAGAAUUGACGAGCUUAUUCCGUGAACACGCGAAAUGGAAAAACUGUUGCAUGUUGUAUUCAAGAAUAAUCCAACGUACGAUGAAUUUGAUGAAUUGAGCGAGAACGACGAACAAACUGUAAAAUUAUCGUACGUUUAAUUAAUAUAUUCUCACAUAUAUAAGGGUAUUUGUAGCAAAUAUUGUGCAAGAAGAAUAUUUACACGGAAAACAAAAUUAUUUCCUAUAUAUGUAAGGAUAUUUGUAGCAAAGUGUUUAAAUAAAUUUAAUCAUGGCUCCAAAAAUUA
rnacentral:lncRNA from 1 species